CAGUCGCCGCGGGAAUACCAGCAGCCCAAGUGGUGGUCGCGUUUAUUGGGCCUAAAGCGCUCGUAGCCUGACCGGUAAGUUCCCCGUGAAAUCGGGUCGCCCAACGAUUCGGCUUGCGGGGAAUACUGUCGGUCUUGGGGCCGGGAGACGCCGAGGGUACUCCGGGGGUAGCGGUGAAAUGCUGUAAUCCUCGGGGGACUACCAGUGGCGAAGGCGCUCGGCGAUAACGGGCCUGACGGUGAGGGGCGAAAGCUGGGGGCGCGAACGGGAUUAGAUACCCCCGUAGUCCCUGUCUCUUAUA
rnacentral:rRNA from 1 species